CUCUGCCUCAGAGGUCUUCUCAAGCCACUACUGUUCCCAAGGAUGCCUAAUUGCAAUGCCAGCUUCUGGGGUGAACAUGGACCCACUGUCAUCGGGCAAGGUCUAGGAUGGACAUGGAGACCCACCAUCUGGGAGAUUCCAGAGUGGACGUGAACCCACCCACCAUCAUCAGGCAGCUUCCUGGAGUAUUCAGAAGCUGGCGGGUGUCAUCUGGAGGAUGUGACUGGGUACCAGUGCUAGAGCACGUGCCCACUGAGCAGUCUUCUUCACUUUCCUCAAUUCUCAUGAAACAUUCUGGGAUCUUUACCUCAAAGGACUCCAGAGGUUACAUCAUUGUCUUCGAACUGGUCAGUGGCUGGAGCUCUCUCCAGGACAAGUGCUUAGAGGAAGAACCUGGACAAGCUUCCCUCCCCAUACUGUUGACUGGAUCUUGUAUCUACCGUUAGCCACCAUCAUCGCCACUGUGUGACUCUUAGGAGCAUUUCCAGGAGGUGAUGCCAGCUGGGCAAAGAGCCUCUGUCCCACAGGACAGCUUCAGGUGGUGAUUCCAGCUCCAGGGUUGCUGCGGUCAACACUGGGUACUUGAGAAGAGGUU
rnacentral:lncRNA from 1 species